UACGGGGGGGGCAAGCGUUGUUCGGAAUUACUGGGCGUAAAGGGCUCGUAGGCGGCCAACUAAGUCAGACGUGAAAUCCCUCGGCUUAACCGGGGAACGGCGUCUGAUACUGGAUGGCUUGAAUCCGGGAGAGGGAUGCGGAAUUCCAGGUGUAGCGGUGAAAUGCGUAGAGAUGUGGAGGAACACCGAUGGCGAAGGCAGCCCCCUGGGUCAAGACUGACGCUCAUGCACGAAAGCGUGGGGAGCAAACAGG
rnacentral:rRNA from 1 species